rnacentral:rRNA from 1 species
GACGAACCGAGCGAACGUUGUUCGGAAUCACUGGGCUUAAAGGGCGCGUAGGCGGGUGCUCAAGUCCGUGGUGAAAUCCUCCGGCUCAACCGGAGAAUUGCCUCGGAUACUGGGCGUCUCGAGUGUGGUAGGGGUAUGCGGAACUAUCGGUGGAGCGGUGAAAUGCGUUGAUAUCGAUAGGAACUCCGGUGGCGAAGGCGGCAUACUGGACCACCACUGACGCUGAUGCGCGAAAGCCAGGGGAGCAAACGGGG